GAGCGCUGGCGGCGUGCCUAAUACAUGCAAGUCGAGCGAACGGACGAGAAGCUUUCUUCUCUGUUCUUAGCGGCGGACGGGUUAGUAACCCGUGGAUAACCUACCUAUAAGCCUGGGAUAACCUUGGGAAACCGGAGCCAAUUCCCGAUAAUAUUUUGAACCGCCUGGUUCAAAAGUGAAAGACGGCCUUGCUUUCACUUAUAGAUGGAUCUGCGCUGCAUUUGCUUGUUGGUAGGGUAACGCCUUGCCAAGGCAACGAGGCAUAGCCGACCGGAGAGGGGGGUCGGCCACAUGGGAGGUGGAACAGCGACAAGGGUCCUAAGAGAGGCAGCAGUAGGGAAUGGGAGGCAAUGGGGGGGAGCAUGGCAGAGCAGGGCCGCGUGUGUGAUGGAGGUCUUCGGAUCGUAAAGCUCGGUUAUGGGGGGAAAACAUAUGUGUCAGGAGCUGUACAGAGAGUGACGGUAACGGGUAAGGAAGCCACGGCUAACUACGUG
rnacentral:rRNA from 1 species